rnacentral:rRNA from 1 species
AGAGUUCGAUUAUGGCUCAGGAUGAACGCUGGCGGCGUGCUUAACACAUGCAAGUCGAACGAAGCACUUUAUUUGAUUUUCUUCGGAAAUGAAGAUUUUGUGACUGAGUGGCGGACGGGUGAGUAACGCGUGGGUAACCUGCCUCAUACAGGGGGAUAACAGUUGGAAACGACUGCUAAUACCGCAUAAGCGCACGGUAUCGCAUGAUACAGUGUGAAAAACUCCGGUGGUAUGAGAUGGACCCGCGUCUGAUUAGCCAGUUGGCGGGGUAACGGCCCACCAAAGCGACGAUCAGUAGCCGACCUGAGAGGGUGACCGGCCACAUUGGGACUGAGACACGGCCCAA